GAUGAACGCUGGCGGCGUGCCUAACACAUGCAAGUCGAGCGGAAAUAUUGGACGUACUUGUACGGAAGAUAUUUUAGCGGCGGACGGGUGAGUAACACGUGAGUAACCUGCCUUCGGCAGUGGAAUAACAUUGUGAAAACAGUGCUAAUACCGCAUAACGUCGUUGACCGGCAUCGGUUGAUGACCAAAGGAGAAAUCCGGCAGAAGAUGGACUCGCGUCCGAUUAGCUAGUUGGCGGGGUAAAGGCCCACCAAGGCGACGAUCGGUAGCCGAACUGAGAGGUUGAUCGGCCACAUUGGGACUGAGACGCGGCCCAGACUCCUACGGGAGGCAGCAGUGGGGAAUAUUGGGCAAUGGGGGAAACCCUGACCCAGCAACGCCGCGUGAAGGACGAAGGCCUUCGGGUUGUAAACUUCUUUGAUCAGGGACGAAACAAAUGACGGUACCUGAAGAACAAGCCACGGCUAACUACGUGCCAGCCGCCGCGGUAAGAC
rnacentral:rRNA from 1 species